rnacentral:rRNA from 1 species
AUGUCAGGUCUGAUGUCCUUGGGUUUAUAUGGGGUUCCAUGUGAGUUUUGCUGGAACAAUGGGUUCAGUUACCCCAGGUCCACAGAACAGACGUGUGGUCAGAAGUCAAGAGCUCAGCUAUCUCCAGAUGAUGAACUUUCCGCUAAGGAAAGUUUAGCAUUAUACUGCAAGCCAGUUGAGCUGUACAAUAUUAUUCGACAAAGAGCCAUUAAAAAGCCCCCUUCGCUUCAAAGAUGCCUUCGGUAUAAGAUAGAAGCAAAACGAAAAAAGAGGAUUCAGAUAUCAGUAUCGAUUUCUGGAAGCACAAAUACUCGAUUGCCAGCACAUGGUAUCUUUCCUCUCCAUGUUCUGUUAGCUAGAUCUAGUAAUGAUGCUCCAGGUGAAGGGCAUUCUCCAAUGUAUCGGUUCAGCCGGGCUUGUGUCCUGACUUCCUUCUGUGAAUCUGGAGACAGUGGCCACACUGAAGCCACAUUCACCAUCCCCAAUAUGAAGAGUUUAUCAACCUCCCAAGUUCGCAGCCUUGACAUUAUCCUUAUUAGCCGUGGCCAAGGUGGGCAAAAUCUUAGUGAAAACUGCUCAGAGAACCAUGCGGAGUAUUCUUCUCCUCAAAAGCUUGGAGGCCAAUGUUUCUGGGGUAAAAUACCAAUUGAUUCACUUGGUUCGUCUCUGGAUUCUGUAACUUUAAGUUUGGGGCAUACUGUGGAAUUAACUUCAGAAAUAAGUAUGAACCCAGGUUUCAUAGAGCCAUCACUUCUUGAGCAUGACAGUUGUUUGACAUUUUGUUCUCUAAAGGCAAAUGCUACAGGUUCAUAUAAACUAAAAGCAAGCAUAGAUGUACAAGAGGCUGGUGCAAGAGACAUGCGUUUAUCUCCUUACAAUAUUUACUCAUAUGAUGAUGUCCCACAGUCGUUACUACCAAAAAUCAUAAGGUUACGAACAGGCAAUGUGCUCUUUAACUACAAGUACUACAAAAAUUUGUACAAAAGCGAAGUUACAGAAGACUUUACUUGCUCUUUUUGCUUGGUACCAUGUGGAAGCUUCAAGGGUCUGGAAUGCCAUUUAACCUCGUCGCAUGACCUAUUCCGCUACGAGUUCUGGGUAUCUAAAGAGUACCAAGCUGUUAAUGUUAGUCUGAAGAUUGAUACCAGGAGAGAAGAGCUUCUGACUGUUGCAGGAAAUGAUCCAGGCAGUAGAGUAUUUUUCUACCGAUCAUCAAGGUUUAAAAGGUGUAAAAUAUCAGAAACGACAACUGAUAAGACGAAGGAUGUAUAUCCACAUAUCACGGAAUUAGGAUCAGCUGGAAUGACUGUGCCUGUGGACCAAGAUAUUGUGGAACCAAGAUCACCACGAAAUACAGUUCCUCCACCUGCACAAACGACUGAAUCAGGAUCGUCGAAAGAUGCCCAGGACGGGUCUGUGGUGGAUUAUGUCCCAAAGGAAAAUGGAAUCAAUGUACCAGAACGAACAGCUCUACAGUCUGAUAGGGCAAGGAAGCUCCUGGUUGAUCUAGAUGACCCCAGUCAUGCGCUGCUGAAAAAACGUGAGUUCUUCCAUUCUCAGAAGGCACAGAGAAUGGAGCUGGAUGUACUUUACUCAGAUCAUGACAGUGAAGACGAACUUGAUCAUGACAUCGCUGACUUCGAAGAUAGGACGCUGCUUGGUGGUUUUUCUGAUGUUGCAGAAGAGGAGAAGCGUAUCAUGCAUAUGUGGAAUUCGUUUAAGCGGAGACAGAGGAUAUUAGCUGAUGGUCAUGUACCUUGGGCUUGCGAGGCAUUCACCCAUCAGCAUGGACAGGAACUCGUGCAGAACCCUAGACUACGAUGGUGCUGGCGGGUCCUUAUGAUCAAGCUCUGGAACCACGGCCUGCUGAACGGCCGCACCAUGAACAUCUGCAACAAACAUCUUGAGGUCUUGGAAAGCCAACGCGCGGACCCCAAGCAAUCUUGA